rnacentral:lncRNA from 1 species
ACAGCUUCUUUUGGGUGAAGAUGCAAAGGCAAUUCAGUGGAGAAAGGAUAGCCGUCAACAAAUGGUGCUGAAAAAAUUAGAUAUCCAUAUGUAAAAUAUGUGCUUCAGUCUAUUUCUUACAUCAUAAAAAAUUAACACAAAAUGUGUCAUAGACCUAAAUAUAAAACCUAAGAAAACACAGAAGAGAUCCUUUGUGACUUUGGGCUCCAUAAACAUUUCUUAGAUUCAUCACUAAAAGCACAGUCUAGAACAGAUUGAUAAAUUGGACUUCCUUGGUAUAUCUGUAUUAAGUGCCUUUUGUUUACUUAAUACAUGAAAUGCAAAAAAAAAAAAAAAAAGAAGUCUCCAAAACAGAAUUGACCUCCAGAGGGGUUCAUGUUUGAGUUGCGAAGGUGAGAUUAAUGUACAUAAGUAACAAUUAGACGAAGCUAUGAAUUGAGUUCAGGAGUGCAGUGGUUGACCUUUGUUUCUUGCCAUAUCUACCUUUUCAGGUAUCCAUGGAGGGCUCCAAAUUUCUGCAGUAAAUAAUGACAUUUUCUCAUGUCUCAAGUCUUUACAUUAAUCUCCGACGGGCACACAUUGUAUCGCGAACCACCUGUAUCUUAGUCAUUCCAUCUAAGGGUUAUAGGAGAAUUUAUUCUACAUUUGUUUUCCUUUUUAAUGUCUUUCCCCGAGACCUGAUUUGAUAAAUCCCUAACACUGUUUCUGGCUGCGUCGCCCUCGCUUGGAAGGAUAGAACAGCCUUUAGUACUAUUAGCAUUUUUUCUAGACAUUACCUCUCCAGCUGUGAAGAUUUUCCUUAGAUGAUUCAUGUGACACUUGGAAGCUGAGGGUACACUUCCUGGAGAAGCACUUAGCUUUUCUCCUGCUCUUGUUUGGAGUGGCUUUACGGUGACCGUUUUUUAUGGUCCUUAAUAUAUUUCCCUUCCUUCCUUCGUAUUUCAUCUUGAGUAUCACAGCUCUGCGCAGCCAGGGCCCAGCUCUGCGCUGCCAGGGCCAGACACACUGCCGCUGGGUGCCUGUCGCUGGCUCCCAGGCCAAUUGGCUGACAAGGAAGUGUCUGUAUUUACAUCUUACCGUCGCCCAGGACCCCCUGAGGUGCUAACUCUGGUUGCUUGCAUCGCACAGCUGCUGAGCAGAUUCUUGGAGAGCCUGUAGAUUGUGUGCAUGUUUGUGCCUCUGUGCCAGCUGUAGGCAGAAUUGUGAAGCAGGCAGUUGGCCCGUUGUGCCUGAAUGUUCUUUUUUUAAUGGCCAUACCCAGGGCCUAUGAAAGUGCCCAGGCCAGGGAUCCAACCCCGAGCUGUAGCUGUGACCUGUGCCACAGCUGCAGCAAUGCAGGAUCCUUCACUCACUGCUCUGGCCAGGGUGGAACCCGCACUUGCACAGCGACACGAGCUGCAGCAGUGGGAUUCUUAACCCACUGCACCACAGCAGGAAUUCGAACCCUCCUUUUUGAAAUCAUUUCUCUGUCCUUAACUUCAGAACCUUUGUAACUUUUCAGGCUCAGUUUUUGUGCUCUCUUCUUCUUAUUAAAGCUGCUUGUUGGAGAACAAAAAAACCCUCUUAUCAGCUCCAUUAGUGUGAAUUUAAGUCAACUUUCCUUAAGGUAUUUUAUUUUAAACUCUGAGUGUCAGAGUUCCGCUUAUGGCUCAGCAUUAACAAACCUGACUAGUAUACACAAGGAGAUGCAGGAGAUGGGUUCGAUCCCUGGCUUCGCUCAGUGGGUUAAGGAUCCAGCGUUGCUGUGGCUGUGGCGUAGGCCAGCACCUGUAGCUCUGAUUCCACCCCUAGCCUGGGAACUUCCAUAUGCUGUGCUCGCAGCCCUGAGAAGACAAACAAACAAACAACAAAAGAACCGAAGUGUGGUGUGCUAGCUUUUCUGUCUCUAGAGGGAUUUCACGCUUUAGGGAACAAGCAGAGAGGAGGCGGUAGUAGGGAAGGGACACGUUGCUUGGUGCAGCUGAAACUGUGUAUAGGUCAAAGUUUUCCAACUGUUUUGGUCCCAUGUCUCUUUCUGCAGAAGCUCUAAACUUGAUUUUUAAAGGAGCUGACUGGCCGAGAUAGAAACGGAGGGUUCAGAGGCCCACUAAUUAAUUCACCCUCCCCUUUUCUGGGAGGCUGCCCUGAGGCCCCAGCGUAGACCUCUUGGAGUUCCCUGGGUCACAGUUUACAAAGCAGCCACGCCCUUCUGGCUUCUACCUGGUGUGUACAAACCUGCCUUGAACCCAUCAGAGAGCUGAAGUUGUAGGGCAACAACUAGCCUCAAAUCUAAGGAAAAACAGGCACCUCCAAGGAGAGAUUGGCUUCUCUGUUGCACAGCUUAAGACAGAGGAAGGUGGGUCUGCUGUACAAUAGGUAAAUUACAUUCAGCUAAAAUUGUUAAUAAUUGCUAAAGGCUGAGGAGGUCCCGCUGUGGCGCAGUGGAAACGAAUCGGACUAGGAACCAUGAAGUUGUGGGCUUGCUCCCUGGCCUUGCUUAGUGGGUUGAGGAUCUGGCGUUGCCAUGAGCUGUGGUGAAGGUCACAGAUGCGGCUUGGAUCCCGCAUUGCUGUGGCUGUGGUGUAGGCCAGCAGCUGUAGUUCUGAUUCCACCCCUAGCCUGGGAACUUCCAUAUGCUGAGGGUGCAGCCCUAAAAUGAAAGCCCCCCCCCAAAAAAAAAAUUCGCUAAAGGCAGAAUGUAGGGUGGCGUGAGGAUAUAGAAUGCAUAGGAUUUGCACCCACUUGAUGGCUCUCCCCCACAGGCGUCACUGGGUGCUCAGAACAAAGACUGAGGCUGGGGCAGGAGACCUGAGAAAGUUGUUCUCGGUGUAGGCCUGGAAGCGGAGAGGAAACAGUCUUGGGCCCAGACUUACCGGGGUCUCUACCACUGGCAGAGGGACAGAAUCCCCUCUGGGAAAGCCCACCUCUGAGACACAGGGACACAGAGCUUUCCUGUGGCCGAGGCUGGACAGGACAACACAGAAUACCCACCUCGCCAGUCAUACCUUAGCCAAGCUUAAAUCCUUCUGCUCUACUUUGUUACUGGUCCAGGUGGCUAUUGCAGUGUCGUCAGCCAGCUUAGAGUUUAGUGGCAUAGCACAUAGGCCGUUCAUUAUCUCUUGGGAUUCUGCACGUCGGGCAGUCGAGCAGUUCUGCUCCACUUGGGAGCAGAAAUGGCCAUCAUGCCUUCUCCAUGUGCAGAGUGGCCCCUCAGUGGACUUGGCUGGAACUGUUGCCCGCCACUCUGGGCAAGCUUGGCUGCUUUGCUCUCUUGGUUACUCUUUUCAAGAGCAAGAGCAGUAGCUGCCUGACCUCUUCAAGGCUAGGCCUGGAGCUGGCACCAUGACACGUCAGUGCAUUCUGGUCAAGGCAAGUUAGGGGGCUCAGAUUCAAGGCAAAGAGAGGGGUCUCUUGAUGGUUGGAGCAGUUUGCAGAGAUAGGGAAGAAAAGAGUCAACUAUGGCCAACCUUGUGGAUUACCCAGUACGCUAAAUUUACCAUGUUUUCAUUUCUUUCCCUUGUCUUUGGCUUGCUUUCUUUCUUACUGUCCCUUUUUAUGGCCACACCCAUGGCUUAUGGAAGGUCUCAGGUUUGGAGUUGAAUCAGAGCUGCAGCUACCGGCCCACAUAUACCACAGCCACAGCAGCACUGGAUCCGAACCACGUCUGUGACCUAUGCUGCAGCUUGGGGCAACGCUGGAUCCUUAACCCACUGAGUGAGGACAGGAAUCGAACCCAUGCCCUCACGGAGACUGUUGGGUUUUUAACCCACUGAGCCACAAUGGGAAUUCCUGUUUUUGUUUUUUGUUCUCAUCUUCUAAUAAUAUUCUCUUCCCAAAUCUGCAUCCAUUAAAAUACAACCCAUUCUGCAAGGCCCAGCCUAAAUGCUACCACCUUCAUGAAAGGACUGACCAUGUAAUUUGUCACACAAAUUGGGACACUUGUGAAAAUGGAAGAGAGAGCUGAAAGGACAAGGAUAAACUAGGAUUGUCCCUGGCAAACUGGGACAUAUAAUAGCUACUCAUGAGCCUCUCCCUGGUUUUUCUGCUUGUGGGUAAUCUUCCUCUUCUGCUGAAUUAGUUCAUAUCUCUGAUGGGACACAUCGCAUUCUUCCUGGUAUUUUGGGUGCAAAUAACUGCCAAUACUCUAUUAAUUGUAAAUUCUUGGAAAGAAGAUUCACUGUCUUAAUUAUUAGUCUUUCCCAGUGCAUUUAGCACAGAACUGUGCAUAUAGUAUGUACCCAGUUGUGAGCUGAAGAAGAGAGUGGAAAACUGAAGAAGGCCAACACUCAGGUUCUUAGGUCCUUAAAAAUGUCUUACAGAAUUGUAUGCCACUACUCAGUCAGAGUUGUGGUCACUCUCCCUCCUUUCCUAACUGUUCAUCCUAUCCUGGCUAGGUGGUUUAAUAGCUGAGCAUCUAGGUUUCUUCAUCCCCAAAAUGGGGCAAAUUAUACCUGUGCUACCUGUUUCAUAGGGAUCUUGUACAGGUGAGGGACAUGAUGCAUGCAAAAGCACCUUGCGUUAUUACCUGUGGAAGCGCCUCUACGGGUGCAAGCCAAUAUUAUUAUUUCAGUUUGCUUAUUAAUUUCCAACUGCGUAGUCCAGAUAACCUCUUAAUCACUUGCUAAGUUGUUCUGUCCAGUGAAGUUCAGACGUGAAUUCCUUUUUUCCAAAAUUCUAACUCUGUUUAAAAUGAGAUGCAGCAGACAGCCCUCCGAAGUAACCAGAAGCAGACAUAAACACUUGCAUUUGAAGUGGGUAAGCAAUGAGGUCCUGCUGUAGAGCACAGGGAACUGCAUUUAGCUGCUUGUGAUGGAACAUGAUGGAGGAUAAUGUGAGAAAAAGAAUGUAUAUAUGUAUGUGUGACUGGGUCACUUUGCUGUACAGCAGAAAUUGACAGAACA